UACGUAGGGGGCAAGCGUUGUUCGGAAUUACUGGGCGUAAAGGGUUCGUAGGUGGCCAACUAAGUCAUACGUGAAAUCCCUCAGCUUAACUGGGGAACUGCGUCUGAUACUGGUUGGCUUGAGUGCAGGAGAGGAACGCGGAAUUCCGGGUGUAGCGGUGAAAUGCGUAGAUAUCUGGAGGAACACCGGUGGCGAAGGCGGCUCACUGGCCCGGUACUGACGCUGAGGUGCGAAAGCGUGGGGAGCAAACAGG
rnacentral:rRNA from 1 species